rnacentral:rRNA from 1 species
CGUCCAGACUCCUACGGGAGGCAGCAGUGGGGAAUAUUGCACAAUGGGGGAAACCCUGAUGCAGCGACGCCGCGUGAGUGAAGAAGUAUUUCGGUAUGUAAAGCUCUAUCAGCAGGGAAGAAAUAGCGACCUUUGGGUCGCCAGACGGUACCUGAUUAAGAAGCCCCGGCUAACUACGUGCCAGCAGCCGCGGUAAUACGUAGGGGGCAAGCGUUAUCCGGAUUUACUGGGUGUAAAGGGAGCGUAGACGGCAGCGCAAGUCUGAAGUGAAAUGCCGGGGCUUAACCCCGGAACUGCUCUUGGAACUGUGCGGCUGGAGUGCGGGAGGGGCAGGCGGAAUUCCUGGUGUAGCGGUGAAAUGCGUAGAUAUCAGGAGGAACACCGGCGGCGAAGGCGGCCUGCUGGACCGCGACUGACGUUGAGACUCGAAAGCGUGGGGAGCGAACAGGAUUAGAUCCCCCAGUA